GAUAGGCUAAUUAAGGGCGUAUGGGGAAUGCCUAGGCUCUCAGAGGCGAUGAAGGACGUGAUAAGCUGCGAAAAGUUACGGGGAAUGGCACACACAUUUUGAUCCGUAAAUAUCCGAAUAGGGCAACCUGGUUAUUUGAAGAAUAAUCAUCCAUCUUGUAUGGAAGCAAACCCGGAGAACUGAAACAUCUAAGUACCCGGAGGAAGAGAAAACAAUAGUGAUUCCGCUAGUAGUGGCGAGCGAACGCGGAAUAGCCCAAACCUAUGUUGUUACGGCAAUGUAGGGGUUGUAGGACUACAAUAUUUGUUGCUUAAUGAAUUAGAAUCUGUUGGAAAUCA
rnacentral:rRNA from 1 species